GCAUCAGUGGUGUAGCGGUAACAUGCGGCCUUCCCAUGACCGCGCUCGGGGUUCGACUCCCCGCUGAUGCA
rnacentral:tRNA from 1 species